AGUGAACGCUGGCGGUAGGCCUAACACAUGCAAGUCGAACGGCAACACAGUAAGAGCUUGCUCUUACGGGUGGCGAGUGGCGGACGGGGGAGGAAUACAUCGGAAUCUACUUUUUCGUGGGGGAUAACGGAGGGAAACUUACGCUAAUACCGCAUACGAACUACGGGUGAAAGCAGGGGAUCUUCGGACCUUGCGCGGAUGAAUGAGCCGAUGUCGGAUUAGCUAGUUGGCGGGGUAAAGGCCCACCAAGGCGACGAUCCGUAGCUGGUCUGAGAGGAUGAUCAGCCACACUGGAACUGAGACACGGUCCAGACUCCUACGGGAGGCAGCAGUGGGGAAUAUUGGACAAUGGGCGCAAGCCUGAUCCAGCCAUACCGCGUGGGUGAAGAAGGCCUUCGGGUUGUAAAGCCCUUUUGUUGGGAAAGAAAAGCAGCAGGUUAAUACCCCGCUGUUCUGACGGUACCCAAAGAAUAAGCACCGGCUAACUUCGUG
rnacentral:rRNA from 1 species